GAUGAACGCUGGCGGCGUGCCUAAUACAUGCAAGUCGAGCGAACAGACGAGGAGCUUGCUCCUCUGACGUUAGCGGCGGACGGGUGAGUAACACGUGGAUAACCUACCUAUAAGACUGGGAUAACUUCGGGAAACCGGAGCUAAUACCGGAUAAUAUAUUGAACCGCAUGGUUCAAUAGUGAAAGACGGUUUUGCUGUCACUUAUAGAUGGAUCCGCGCCGCAUUAGCUAGUUGGUAAGGUAGCGGCUUACCAAGGCAACGAUGCGUAGCCGACCUGAGAGGGUGAUCGGCCACACUGAACUGAGACACGGUCCAGACUCCUACGGGAGGCAGCAGUAGGGAAUCUUCCGCAAUGGGCGAAAGCCUGACGGAGCAACGCCGCGUGAGUGAUGAAGGUCUUCGGAUCGUAAAACUCUGUUAUUAGGGAAGAACAAAUGUGUAAGUAACUAUGCACGUCUUGACGGUACCUAAUCAGAAAGCCACGGCUAACUACGUG
rnacentral:rRNA from 1 species